rnacentral:rRNA from 2 species
UACAGAGGGGGCAAGCGUUGUUCGGAAUUACUGGGCGUAAAGGGCGCGUAGGCGGCCUUCUAAGUCGAACGUGAAAUCCCCGGGCUCAACCCGGGAACUGCGUCCGAUACUGGAAGGCUUGAAUCCGGGAGAGGGAUGCGGAAUUCCAGGUGUAGCGGUGAAAUGCGUAGAUAUCAAGAGGAACACCUGAGGCGAAGGCGGGUUGCUAGGCUGACACUGACGCUGAGUGCGCGAAAGCCAGGGGAGCAAACGGG